ACGUGAGCCACUGCACCUGGCCAAAUUUUUAUCAUUUUCCCCCUCAAGUUCAUGUUCUAAAAAGAGGAUCAAGUUAUUAGUUUUCAAACAUUAUACUAUUAUAUUUAUCUUAUUUUUAAUUUAAUUUUUCUUCUGACUAGUAUGUUCUGACCACUAUCUUCAUUUAUUUUAGAAUUAUUACAUCAUACAAUUUUGCUGUAAAAACAAAGACAAUGUUUAAAACAUAAUCCACUCUCCAUAUCAAAUGCACUAGCUAUACCGCUGCGUUUGGUUCACCUUAUCCGUUUUUCUACUUACAUUUCCUGGCCAUGGCUAGUUAUUAAACCCAUUUUCUUUAGAGGUGAUUAGAAUCAGAAUCACAGGCCUUGAUGGUGGCCAACAAUAUAGAGCAGUGUAAUACUGUUUCCUCCAAGAAAAAGAUUAAGAGUGCUGUGGUACUAGAGCAAUUAACUAAACAAUCACCCUACUUACUAUAUUUAUUAAGUUCUAAACCCUGGGCUAGAGAGGAAAUCCAAAGAAAGGUAAACUCAUGCUUUUUAUUCUCUAGAACCUUCUAAUCUAGUGAGGAUCAACUAUGGACAAUGAGGAAAUUGGGCACCAUGGAGGACCAUUUGAUGCCUUGUCCAAGGACCUGGGUGCAGGUUGGGGUUCUAUCAAAUUCUAACUUUAUAACCUAGGGGAAAUCGCUGACCUUCUCCAAGUUUACUUUCUCUGACCUACAAAGUGGGGAUAAUAUUAUUACCACAUAGAGAUAGUAUACCUGGCACAUGAUAGGCAUCUAGUGACUCUUAGAUACAAACAAGACAUGGCAAAUUAAACAUGGAGGAGAUAACUAAAAGUUUGAUGCAACAGCAAAUAAUAGGUUAGCAGGUGAGGAUUAAUUUCCUAAUGGAUAAUACACAUGAUAUUAGAGUUCAGGGAACAUUUGGAACAUCCGAAUACUGGAUUCAGAGUACACAGCUGGCAGGUGGACAGGAAUGGGGCCUGGAGUCACUAGGAGAAGCCCCCAGACAACAAACUGCCUUGUGUGAAUGUCUUAACUACAUUCCAGUCCCUAGCUUAACUAAUAUAUUUUCAAUAUUGAAUCUAAAAAGUCAAGCACAAAAGAUUAUAUGCUGUAUGAUUCCUUCAUUUAAAAUACACAAAAGGCAAAUCUCAUCUGUGGUGUUACAAGUCAGGAGAGAGUUUAUCUUGUAGGAGAGAUAAGAGAACUGGAAGGGGCAGGAUUGAUGUUCCGGGAACUAGUGGUGUUCUGUUUCUCGAUGUGGAUGCUGGUUACAGGGACGUUUCUUAAGUUUGUGGAGAUAUAUUUUCAUAUGUUCAUAGAGAUAGGACAAAAAUACCGAUCAUACACAGCCUUCUCACAACUGUGAUAGAGGGAGAAGGCUCUCUCUCUCUAUCCUCUUUUUUCUGAGACAGAGUCUCGCUCUGUCACCAGGCUGGAGUGCGGUG
rnacentral:lncRNA from 10 species